AACGCACGAGACCUGCGGACCUGCGGAGGGAUCAUUAAUGAAUGUGGCACACAUGUGCCCAUCAACCCUCAAACCUCUGUGGAACAAACCGUGUUUCGGCGACCGGCUCCGGUCGCCGACGCCAAUUCCUGAAUAUGUCUUUUGAUGUCUGUCUGAUCAUAAGAUUGAAUACAUAAAACUUUUAACAAUGGAUCUCU
rnacentral:misc_RNA from 1 species